ensembl:lncRNA
GCAAAGCUGCUGUCAUAAUCCACAGGUAUAAAAUGGGAGGUAUUACAGGCACUGCAGCCACCAGGGAGACCAUAUGGUACCACGUGUGCUCUGUCCUCACAGUUCACUGCUUGAUACUUUUGGAAAGCUACGCUUUUCUCCAUUUCACUGAGCGCCGUCAUUCUGUGACGUUUGGCCACACGAUGCUUUUCAACUUGGACUCCAGGUCAAGUUUUUUUUUUCUGUAAUUUAGAUGUUGGUGGAUUAAUCUUCUGCUUAGGAAACCAAAGCAGGGUGGUGAGGAGGGAGACGAGGCCUCCUGGAAUAGAACAUGCUGACGGGAGUGCACCCACAGCAGGAAACGUCUCUCUACUCCAAAGCACGUUUAAGAGCCCACAGAGUGUUCCUGAGCAGGAGUGAUGUGAACUACCGGAGGGUUUCUUUCAUCUCUUUCUGGUAUCUCGAGGAGUGAAUUCCCCAAACGAACGAAUGAAGGUAUUGAAAGUCUUUCAGAGAAUCAACAACUAGGGAUUCAAUCCGAGAACGUCUGCUGAAGCACCGAAAUGGGGAUUAUUUGCAGCCGGCGAGCUGUUAUAUUGAUCUCUGGAACAUCUACAGCCACUUGACUGAGAUUUAUACUUCACUUUGUAAAUCCCCAUUAAGGGCCCUCCGGGGGCUGCUGUUGGAUGAAACCAUAUUGACAAAUGAAGUGAAGACUGAUCUGAAGCUAUUGUACUAUUAGCUUCUCGUGAAAUCAAGCGAGUGUGUGUGGGAGAAAGCGAGAGGGGCCCAUAAGUCUAAUUAAGCCCCACUGAGCGUGCUGCUCUGCUGACUGGAGAACUUGUUCAUUUGUUUCAUUUCUUCAUCAUUUUCCCUCUGAAACCUUUUCUUGGCCCUGUGGCUUGUGGGAAACUAUAUCCCAAUGUGAUCCCCCUUUAAAAAAAACAACAAUCCACACUCUCUAACCGAAAUGACCCAGCAGGGUUUCGCCGUUCCUCACAUCUUCUGACAAACAAAAUAUAACUUGCACACGGCACGAUUUCAACCUCUGAAACACUCCCCGACUUCCGAGAUGAGCGACCCAAACUACUGGGCUGCGGAUUACAAUCCCUCCUCCACUGCUCCGGCUGCGUUCCCCAGGGGCUCCACGGUGCUGCAGCCCCUCCCCGGGCACCCCGAGCAGGGAACCGCCCUGUGCUUCGUGGGCCUUCUCGUGCUGUUCCUGCUCUUUCUCAUCGUUCGCUGCGUCCGGAUCUUGUUGGACCCGUACAGCAGCAUACCAGCCUCAUCGUGGACGGAUCACAAGGAGGGACUGGACAGGGGACAAUUUGAUUAUGCACUGGUGUGAAGACGUGUGGGGGGGAAUGGAAGAUGAAGAGAGGGAUGAAGGUGGGGAUAUGUUCAGGGAUAUGCCGUGGGUUCGGUGUCAUGCAACAAGGUUCUAUAGUCACAAAGUUUCAGCUCCAUAAAAUGAAAGAAAAUGCAUUUGGUUUGUCGUUGGUUGGGGCAACAUGCACACGGACCAUCAAACGGCAUCUGUGUAAGGAUUCAAUUCAGAGAGAAAAGGAGAAUCCGUUAUAAUUUGCUGGUAAUUGAUGUAAUGUGACUCUUGUUGUUACUCUGCAGCUUCCAGAGUGACAAAUUGCAGGACGACAGCGAUCAGUAUCACAGCAUUACAUUAUGACUCCUGUUUGUUUGUUUCGUUUCCCAGAGCUGAAUUAUAAAUAGAGAGCAGCGCUGCUGCAAGAGAGGUACUGAUUGAAUAAAAGUGAAAUGGAAUGAGUUUAAACAUGGAAGUCAUUCAGACAGAACUGUGUUACAGCCGAUUUACAGCAAGAUUGUUAACUUCAUACAUCGAUUUGCUGUUAAAGUAUAAGAGUGUAUCUGUCUUUUUUUUUCCUUAAAUCUAGCUGAAUAAUUUAGAAGAUGUCAGUUUCUCUGGAACAGGGAACCUUUUUUAUGGGAUCCGUGCAUUUGUACGACCUCUAACAUGAUCCUCAGGGAUAACGAUUUCUAAUUAACCUCAGGCUCGAUAUCAUCAGAGGAAACCACCCCCUGAAAUUGAGCUACAGCUGUUAUUAUAUUUCAUUUCUCAAUUUUCUUAAAGAUUAACUGUGCACUAAAGCUGAUGUUUAUAAUACAUUCCAGUUAAUACUAAUUAUUUUAUUUGGAGUUUUGCUAUUCCAUGCCGCCGUCCUCUUAAGAGGCUUAUGAGGCUCAGUGCAGAGUCACACUGACUGGAUACGACUCAUAUAAAGUUAGGAUUAUGAAAUGCAUGUGCACCAAUUUACUUCCUCUAAUCCUUUUUGCCUUUAGACCCAGUCCAGCGCACAAGACAAAUCUGGUCAACAGUGCCUGCAGGAAUAAGAGAAGAGCUUCAAAUUAUUUCAUACUAACUAAAUACUGCUUACUUUGACACUUCUAUGGUUUAAAGUCCUCUAUAUAAAUGAACUUAACCAUCAAUAGUUCUUGGGAACUGUUCUACAGUUGUUUGGUUUCAUUAAUUAUGACCACAGGAAUAACGCUUUGCUGGUAAAAUGAAAUUGAUAUUUUCCUGAUGUUUCCUAAAAUUAGAAUUCUGCUUUCAAUCAAAUAAAAAAGCUUUGAUUUGUA